rnacentral:rRNA from 1 species
GACGAACGCUGGCGGCGUGCUUAACACAUGCAAGUCGAACGCUGAAGCCUGGUGCUUGCACUGGGUGGAUGAGUGGCGAACGGGUGAGUAACACGUGAGUAACCUGCCCAUGUCUCUGGGAUAAGCGCUGGAAACGGCGUCUAAUACUGGAUACGACCCAUACCGGCAUCGGUAGUGGGUGGAAAGACUGUGUCGGAGAUGGAUGGACUCGCGGCCUAUCAGCUGGAUGGUGAGGUAAUGGCUCACCAUGGCGACGACGGGUAGCCGGCCUGAGAGGGUGACCGGCCACACUGGGACUGAGACACGGCCCAGACUCCUACGGGAGGCAGCAGUGGGGAAUAUUGCACAAUGGGCGCAAGCCUGAUGCAGCAACGCCGCGUGAGGGAUGACGGCCUUCGGGUUGUAAACCUCUUUCAGUAGGGAAGAAGCGAAAGUGACGGUACCUGCAGAAGAAGCACCGGCUAACUACGUGCCAGCCGCCGCCGUAAGAC